rnacentral:rRNA from 1 species
CAACGCGUUGGGAGCUCUCCCAUAUGGUCGACCUGCAGGCGGCCGCGAAUUCACUAGUGAUUCGUAUUACCGCGGCUGCUGGCACGAAGUUAGCCGGGGCUUCUUCUGCGGGUACCGUCAUUAUCGUCCCCGCCGAAAGAGCUUUACAACCCUAGGGCCUUCAUCACUCACGCGGCAUGGCUGGAUCAGGGUUGCCCCCAUUGUCCAAUAUUCCCCACUGCUGCCUCCCGUAGGAGUCUGGCCCGUGUUUCAGUGCCAGUGUGGCCGUGUGCCCUCUCAGGCCGGCUACCGAUCUUCGCCUUGGUGGGCCAUUACCCCGCCAACUAGCUAAUCAGCCGCGGACUCCUCUUCCAGCGCAUUGCUGCUUUCCUCUUACGAGCUUAUGCGGUAUUGUCCCCAGUUUCCCGGGGGUAUUCCCCACUAGAAGGUAGAUGAUCCACGUGUUACUCACCCGUACGCCACUUUACUCACAGUAUUGCUACUGCUUUCUCGUGCGACUUGCAUGUGUUAAGCGCGCCGCCAGCGUUGAUUCUGAGCCAUGAUCAAACUCUAAUCGAAUUCCCGCGGCCGCCAUGGCGGCCGGGAGCAUGCGACGUCGGGCCCAA